rnacentral:rRNA from 1 species
AAUCAACGCUGGCGGCGUGCCUCAGACAUGCAAGUCGAACGAUUAAAGCCCUCUUCGGAGAGUGUAUAGAGUGGCGCACGGGUGAGUAACACGUAAGUAAUCUACCUUCGAGUGGGGAAUAACGUCCGGAACGGACGCUAAUACCGCAUAAUGCAGCGGCAUCGCAAGAUGACAGUUGUUAAAGAUUUAUCGCUUGAAGAGGAGCUUGCGGCAGAUAGUCUAGUUGGUAAGGUAACGGCUUACCAAGGCUACGAUCUGUAUCGGUCUAAGAGGACGGUCGGACACACUGACACUGAAUAACGGGUCAGACUCCUAC